rnacentral:rRNA from 1 species
UACAGAGGGUGCGAGCGUUAAUCGGAAUUACUGGGCGUAAGGCGUGCGUAGACGGUAGCGUAAGUCAGAUGUGAAAGCCCCGGGCUCAACCUGGGAAUUGCAUUUGAGACUGCUCUGCUCGGGUGCGGAAGAGGGAAGCGGAAUUUCCGGUGUAGCGGUGAAAUGCGUAGAUAUCGGAAGGAACACCAGUGGCGAAAGCGGCUUCCUGGUCCGACACCGACGUUCAGGCACGAAAGCGUGGGGAGCAAACAGG